CAGUAGCCGCGGGAAUACGGAGGGUGCAAGCGUUAAUCGGAAUUACUGGGCGUAAAGCGCACGCAGGCGGUCUGUCAAGUCAGAUGUGAAAUCCCCGGGCUUAACCUGGGAACUGCAUUUGAAACUGGCAGGCUAGAGUCUUGUAGAGGGGGGUAGAAUUCCAGGUGUAGCGGUGAAAUGCGUAGAGAUCUGGAGGAAUACCGAUGGCGAAGGCAGCCAUCUGGCCUAAUACUGACGCUGAGGUACGAAAGCAUGGGGAGCAAACAGGAUUAGAUACCCGAGUAGUCCCUGUCUCUUAUAC
rnacentral:rRNA from 1 species